rnacentral:misc_RNA from 1 species
AUCUGAGAGCCCCUUCACUGCCAGUCCACAAAACCCAAAUGAUGGAGACAUUUUCAAUGGAUUCAUGAAAUUUUUAGCAUUUUGCUCAAUGAGAUCAAAAAGUUUAUGAGUUUUUAGAAGUUUCAAACUGCAAAUAAAUCUUUUGCUUUGCAAUAUAACGUGUGGGAUGGUAUGUUUUGUUUUGCCUAGUUAGAUACAUGAGUGUUAACCCUGUGGGAUGGUAUGUUUUGUUUUGCCUAGUUAGAUACAUGAGUGUUAACCC